rnacentral:rRNA from 1 species
CUUUACUGUAACUUGAAAUUGAAAUUGGACUUUCCUUGCGCAGGAUAGGUGGGAGGCUAUGAGAAUAUUCUUGCGGGAAUAUUGGAGCUAUCAGUGAGAUACCACUCUUGGAAUGUUAGAUUUCUAACUUUGGAUCAUUAUCGGGUCAAAGAACAGUUUCAGGCGGGCAGUUUGACUGGGGCGGUCGCCUCCUAAACGGUAACGGAGGCGCACAAAGGUUUCCUCUGAACGGGUAGAAAUCGUAUCUAGAGUGUAAAGGCAUAAGGAAGCUUGACUGUGAGACCUACAAGUCGAGCAGGGACGAAAGUCGGUCUUAGUGAUCUGACGGUGCUGAGUGGAAAGGCCGUCACUCAACGGAUAAAAGUUA